rnacentral:rRNA from 1 species
GGUACGACUCUCGGUAAUGGAUAUCUUAGCUCUCGCAUUGAUGAAGAACAUAGAAAAUUGUGAUAUGUGGUGUGAAUUGUAGAAUCCCAUGAACCAUCAAGUCUUCGAAUGCAAGUUGUGCCUGAGGCCAUUUGGCUGAGGGCACGCUGCCUGGGCAUCACUC